rnacentral:rRNA from 1 species
GAAUUCGAUUCAGGCCUAACACAUGCAAGUCGAACGGCAGCACGGGUGCUUGCACCUGGUGGCGAGUGGCGAACGGGUGAGUAAUAUAUCGGAACGUAUCCAUUAAUGGGGGAUAACUAGUCGAGAGAUUAGCUAAUACCGCAUACGUCCUACGGGAGAAAGCAGGGGAUCUUCGGACCUUGCGUUAAUGGAGCGGCCGAUAUCUGAUUAGCUAGUUGGUGGGGUAAUGGCCUACCAAGGCGACGAUCAGUAGCUGGUCUGAGAGGACGACCAGCCACACUGGAACUGAGACACGGUCCAGACUCCUACGGGAGGCAGCAGUGGGGAAUUUUGGACAAUGGGCGCAAGCCUGAUCCAGCCAUGCCGCGUGAGUGAAGAAGGCCUUCGGGUUGAAAGCUAUUGGCAAGGGAAGAAAACUUCCUUCUAAUAAAGGGUGAGGUGAC